GGAAAGAAACACAAGGCAGCUUGCUUUCUUUCUUUCCAAAAAUGGAAUCGAGGGGGUGGAACUAAGAGUGAGGGAGAGAAAAUUUGGUUAGCUUUAUCAUCUACUGAUCAUAAUCAAGAAGAGAAAGGCAAGGAAAAUAGGAGGGAUAGCUGGUGCAGACCUUGAGGAAACAAAGCUGGGAAAAUCUGGUCAGUUUAACUCUUAAAGGAAAGAGGAAGUAGCCGUGAACCAGGAAACCAAUUCGAGACUCGAGAGUAGUCAUUUGAAUCUUUGGAGUUGGAGAUUGAAAAGUGAAUAGAUGGAAUUGGAAAGUUGUUUUGGGAAAUUCCAUCACUAUGUGUAUAUAUUGGAGUCACGUUUUCUUUUGUAUUUUAAGAUGGUUGAAUCUUCUGUUUUGAGUUGAUGUAAUAUUAAUAAUGGAUGUUUAGAACGAGUAUUUUGUUUCUUUUAGUGGACAAAUCUAUGUUUCAAGCUGAUUGGAGUGGUACUUAAGAGUGAAUGUUCAGUUGUUCAAUGAUAAUGUUA